AAGGAAGGGUGCAUGGGAGCAGGAUCUUUGAAGGGGAAGCCUAAAGUUCCUGCUCAGAGACACGAACAAGGGUCAGCCCAAAUUUCCAUCCCACUCCUGAUUCAUCGUGUGUCUGACCCAUGAAUAUAAGGGUUGAGCACUGACAGGGAUCUCCCAGGUGUGUCCCAGGGUAGUUGCAGCUCUGUGACCGGGUAUGUGCGUCUAUGUCUUUGGGUGAGGGUGAUCCAGGAAAGCUGCAAGACUUGAUUUCAUAAGGAGCAGCUCAGCUGACCCUUUCCUGACACACGGACAUGCAGAAGAUCAGAGAAAACAGGUGGCUUUCCAACGUCAUGUGAUUCAUAACCCACAGGCUAUGGAAACAAUUUUGGGCUAAAUUUUUUUUUAAUCAUUUUUGAGAACAAGGGAAAGAAGAUGAACAAGCUCAGGAAAUGUGGUAAAAGAAUGCACCCUUGCCACUUCGGGGAUGCAAUCUGAGAGGGAUGCAAAGAUUUAUGUCUGAAGAUGCUCAUCAUCUUGUUUAUGAGGCUGAAAGCCUGGAAACAGCUCAGAGGUCCAACACAGAGAUUGGUUAAAUAAAUUAAGGGACCCUCUGUGAUGGAAUACCAUACAACCAUUAAAAAUGAUGGCCCAGUUAAAAAAAUAUUUUAAUGACACAGGGAAAUGUU